CCAACCAAGGGUGUGGCUGGGAAACCCUGUGGGUGUCUGCGGGAGACCCUGAGGCCAGAGACCUCCUAAGUAUCGGGUUAUCUUUACUCAUUUGCUAAUCUAUGGAACACCAGUGUUUCUCUGGGGUUCUCCUCUUAGUUGCAUCCUAUCCCAGCUCCCAUUUCUCCAGAGCAUCCCUAGGGAGGAAGAAGGUUGCCCCGCCGAUGGAGAUUUGCCCCAGGCUCUGAGGACGCCAGGCUGAGAGCUCCUGCCUCAGAGCCUGCCAGCGUCAAGACUUAUGACCGCCUCAUCUCUCCCCCUCGCUGGGUCUGGCUACAUCACUUAUCUCCCCGACGCUGACCUGCCAGCAGCUGCAGGAGGCUCUCUCCGAAACGCAAUAACAAGAGUCCCU
rnacentral:lncRNA from 1 species